rnacentral:siRNA from 1 species
UGUUAAUCGCUUCGAAGAGCCGAA